rnacentral:rRNA from 1 species
AACGAACGCUGGCGGCAGGCUUAACACAUGCAAGUCGAACGCCCCGCAAGGGGAGUGGCAGACGGGUGAGUAACGCGUGGGAAUCUACCCAGUUCUACGGAACAACACAGGGAAACUUGUGCUAAUACCGUAUACGCCUACGGGGAAGGAUUAUCGGAAUUGGAUGAGCCCGCGUUGGAUUAGCUAGUUGGUGAGGUAACGGCUCACCAAGGCGACGAUCCAUAGCUGGUCUGAGAGGAUGAUCAGCCACACUGGGACUGAGACACGGCCCAGACUCCUACGGGAGGCAGCAGUGGGGGAAUAUUGGACAAUGGGCGCAAGCCUGAUCCAGCCAUGCCGCGUGAGUGAUGAAGGCCUUAGGGUUGUAAAGACUCUUUCAGGGGGGAAGGAUAAUGACUGUACCCCAGAAGAAGCCCCGGCUAACUCCGUGCCAGCAGCCGCGGUAAAGUAGUCGUGG